rnacentral:sRNA from 1 species
UGAUAUUGCUCGGUAGACCGACGGUUC